GGAGGCCCUGAAUCUUAGGGGCAGAACAUCUGCUUUGCAUGCAGAAGGUCACAGGUUCAAUCCCUGACAUCUCCA